rnacentral:rRNA from 1 species
CCUACGGGUGGCUGCAGUGGGGAAUAUUGGACAAUGGGGGGAACCCUGAUCCAGCCAUGCCGCGUGUGUGAAGAAGGCCCUCGGGUUGUAAAGCACUUUCAGUGAGGAAGAACGCCUGGUGGUUAAUACCCAUCAGGAAAGACAUCACUCACAGAAGAAGCACCGGCUAACUCCGUGCCAGCAGCCGCGGUAAUACGGAGGGUGCGAGCGUUAAUCGGAAUUACUGGGCGUAAAGCGCGCGUAGGUGGCUUGAUAAGCCGGUUGUGAAAGCCCCGGGCUCAACCUGGGAACGGCAUCCGGAACUGUCAAGCUAGAGUGCAGGAGAGGAAGGUAGAAUUCCCGGUGCAGCGGUGAAAUGCGUAGAGAUCGGGAGGAAUACCAGUGGCGAAGGCGGCCUUCUGGACUGACACUGACACUGAGGUGCGAAAGCGUGGGUAGCAAACAGGAUUAGAUACCCCUGUAGUC